UACGUAGGCAGCAAGCGUUGUUCGGAAUUACUGGGCGUAAAGAGCGUGUAGGCGGCCACUUAAGUCCUGCGUGAAAUCUUGCGGCUCAACCGCAAGCGGUCGUGGGAAACUGGGUGGCUAGAGUGCGGGAGAGGAGAGUGGAAUUCCUGGUGUAGCGGUGGAAUGCGCAGAUAUCAGGAAGAACACCCGUGGCGAAGGCGGCUCUCUGGAACGCAACUGACGCUGAGACGCGAAAGCGUGGGGAGCAAACAGG
rnacentral:rRNA from 1 species